rnacentral:lncRNA from 10 species
UAAAAGUUAAGGGUCAUUUGGUGUUUUAUUUUCAGUGAUAAUGCUAUUGUAUUAUAAUUGUUUAAUUACAGUGUGUGGAAUCAUGUCAAUCAUGAAUGUUCCCCCCCAUAGGAAACUUAUUGUCAAAUAUAAAAAGCAUGUUCACUUUAGACUUAUAUUUUUGAAAAUAGAAUUUUUUUAUUAUAAAAGAAAGGGAAAAAUAAUAGAAGUUUAAAUCUAGGAUGUGAUGAAAUCUAAGGCAAAUCUAUUUAGAAUUUAGAAAAAGAUCUUUAGUAAUCACUUUAUUUUAUUAAAAAGACUAAUCUUUUACUUAUUUUGAAGUAAUAUAAUAUAGUUGUAAUAUGUUCAAUGGUUUAAACCCGUUAUCAGUAUUCCAUUUUGUAGAGUAGAUAUUUUACAUGUCAAUAUCAAAGAGCAGGGAAAUGCUGAAGUAGUAUUUUUUAUUUUUAUUUACAGUGUUUGCAUUUGUUUCAUAAUUUGUUUUUUUAAGUCUAUAGUCAAUAGGUAAUAAUACUUUUAUACUUAACCAAUUAAUAUUCAUGGUCAACAUUUAUGAAGCACGUGUUAUGUUUCACGCAUUUCUGUAAAGAAUAUAUACAUUAAUGACACAAUGAUCCUUGCUCUUCAGAAGUUUAUAAUCUGUUUGAGUAGCAGAUGAGUCAGGAUAUCUCCUCUAAAAACAGGUAAUAAUCUUUCAACAAAGAAGGCAAAAUAAGAAUAAUUAAAUUUGUGAAGUCUUAUAAUAGAAGGUUAUUGAUGAGGCUGUGGUAACACAGAUGAGCAAAGGAGGACACAUUUCUUUUGGGGAAGGUAGAAGAGGAGGUGAAGGAAUGGAUUUUUGUUAAGAAAAUAUUGAGAGUUACAGGAAAGAGGUGACGUUAGAGAAGGAGAAAGAGAAUGCAUUUAGAGCAGUCAGGCUAUCUAAGGUAGAUUGCUCAAAAGAUUUCAUAUUUUAUUAUUAAUUUUUUAUGUAUUGGAUUUACUAAACUUUUAAUAGGGAACUCCAAAUUUAAAAAGAGUCUAAAAGUUUCUUUAUUUUGCCUUUAUUUUUUCUGCUGUAAAGUUAAAUACAACAAUAUAGUGUCAUUAUUUUAUAAAAAUGAUGAUUUAGUUAGGUAAUGCUAACUAAUGUCAUUUUCCCACCAGAGGGCAGUGGAAGCAUGAGAGGAGGAGGUGGGGGCAAUGCCAGAGAGUACAAAAUUAAAAAAGUCAAGAAGAAAGGAAGAAAAGAUGAUGAUAGUGAUGAUGAAUCUCAAUCAUCCCACACUGAAUUCAUUACAUACGGGCUAUAGCUGGAAGAUGUAGAUAUCAAGUGAUGUGCCUGCAGCUAUUAAUGUUCUACUUGCUAUUUGUAAUAGCACAGUUGUUUAAGAUUUGUCUUUAAAGUAUUCUGAGAUAGGUAGAAAUAACUACUGUUCUUCAUGUAUGUAAAACAACGUUAAUUAAAGGAAAAGUAUCUUUAUAGGAACUACUAGCUUUAUCCUUAUUUCAAAUAGGAUUAAGACUAUCCAUUGUGAAUUUUAAUUUUUCACUGGUAAAUGGAUUUUCCUGUUGCCCAGGUGUACUAGGCAUGUGGGUGAAGAGGCAUUACAAGAAAACACUUCUCUAAUAUCUGUAAUCUUAAAUAAUGGUUAAAUGAGGCAUGUGAUAUUCCUUUUGUGAAUAGAUUAUUAUUGAAAGGAGCUAUAAAAGUAGUAAAACCAUUCUACCUUUAAAAAUAUAAUUUCAAUGCUUUUGAAAAAAAAUUUAUGUUGUAAUCUCUGAAAUAGAGGAUGAAAUUGGGUUCUCAGCUAAAAUAUAGGAUCAACUCAGUAUGAAAGAUUACU